AGGGUUCGAUUCUGGCUCAGGAUGAACGCUAGCUACAGGACUUAACACAUGCAAGUCGGAGGGGCAGCAUAACGAAAGCUUGCUUUUGUUGAUGGCGACCGGCGCACGGGUGAGUAACGCGUAUCCAACCUUCCCGCGAGUAGGGAACACGCCCGGCGAAAGUCGGAUUAAUGCCCUAUGUUCUCCGAUGACGGCAUCAGAGUUGGAGUAAAGAUUUUAUCGCUUGCGGAUGGGGAUGCGUCUGAUUAGCUUGUUGGCGGGGUAACGGCCCACCAAGGCGACGAUCAGUAGGGGUUCUGAGAGGAAGGUCCCCCACAUUGGAACUGAGACACGGUCCAAACUCCUACGGGAGGCAGCAGUGAGGAAUAUUGGUCAAUGGGCGGAAGCCUGAACCAAGCCAAGUAGCGUGAGGGAUGACUGCCCUAUGGGUUGUAAACCUCUUUUGUUCGGGAAUAAAGUUCGGGACGUGUCCCGUUUUGUAUGUACCGUUCGAAUAAGGACCGGCUAAUUCCGUGCCAGCCGCAGC
rnacentral:rRNA from 1 species